rnacentral:lncRNA from 1 species
CCCACCCGGCCUAGAUCCCCGGGAGGCCUGCGCAGUUGCCGCGUUCCAGGCCCGUGGCCUAGCUGUGCGUGCCUGUGGGUCGGCCGGGGCACCUUCCGCCUACCAGUCAAGGGCCCAGGAGUCCAUGAGGCCCCAGGGAGGGCGAGAGGCGUCCCGGGGAUCCAGGGUCCUGGGGAGGGUUGGUGCAGAAAGAUCGUUGGAACAAACCGCUCCUUUUUAAGCCGAGAGACUUAAGAAUGAGGUCACUUCCGAAAGGUCAGGCUGUCUUCCACAGUCACCUGGCCUGGCCCCAGCCCGCCAGGAAACCAGGUCACCAUGAUCAGCUCUCCAUGGCUGGACAGAUGAAGAAAUGGGAGACAGGGAGGCUGAGGAACUGGGGAGCCCGUGUUACUUGCUUAAUGGCCAUGUACUACAGCAAGGCAAGAAUCAGAUAUGAUAUGACCAUCUCUAGUAUCCAUUCCAAAUUCAUGACAACAUAGGGACUCAGUAAACAUUGAACAUGAUGGAAAAAAAUCCCCAUUGAACGUGAUGGAGUAGAAGGAGGUGAGAACCUUGCUCUGGAGCUUAUCUGCAUGCGGAGCUCUAAUCUUGUGCCUUUUUUCUUUUUUUUUAUUGACAAGCAGUGUGAGCAGUGGUUAAAAACACAGACUCUAUAAAUAAACGUUAAAUACCUGGUUUUGCCAAAUGCUAAGAGUAGGACCUUGGACAACCUACUACAUGACUUUCUUCUGUGCCUCAUGUUCCGCUUACGUAAAAUGAGGUGCUGGAACCUUGGAACCGCGGAAGAGCCUUGUGGGAGCUCUUCCAACCAUUGGCCCAAGAAAGGAGUAUUGAGACACAGCCCUCCCUCUUUCUUUUCCUGUCCCAGCCAUGAGGAUAGGACAUCAGAUUGGAACACAAGUGCUCCACAAUGUGCUGUCUUCCCUAGAGGUGGUCAAUAUGAAGCACAUGAGAAAAGGAUUGGUUAGACACAUACAAAGCUAUAAGCCAAGAAGAGGAAAGGGUUUAAAAGAAAAAGGGACAGUUAAGACCAGACAAAAAGACAAGGAAAAGCAGAAUGAAGGAAGGAAUAAGAAAAGAAGAUAUAGGUGGAAAUAGAGAAGUAACAAUGAUUAAAAUAUAUUGAAGCUUUACCAUUUGCCAGGCAUUAUAAAUGCUUUCCACAAAUUACAGUGUGUAAGCCUCAUAAUGUGAGGAAUCUUCUACUAUUUUUCCCACUCAACAGAAAAGAAAAAUGAUGUUUAGAGAGAUACACAGACGUGUUGAAGGUCAUAGAACUAGUGAGGGGAAAACCAGGGAUUUAAAUCCAUGCCUUUCUUAACUCCUAACAUGUACUUCACCUUAUGCUCAAGGGACAAUGUCGUGUGCUUAGUUCAUAUCAACAGCUUAAAUGCAUAAUAUGUGCUAUUAACCUCUGAGCUGGAGUCACAGGCUUUGUGAGAUUGCCGUUCUCUGUCCUGGUGGAAGAGCAAGCCAGUAAACAUGGAAUACUGCCACGGUAAUCAGAAUAUGCUUACAAUAGCCGCCUGUAGAGUCCUGUGUGGAAGAAUGCAAAAGGGCGGUCUGCACACUGGAGAGCCAAAGAAUCCAGUCAAAGGUGAAAGACCUGAAGCUCACUGCCCAGUCCUGUUGCAGUCUGUAUCAGGAAGCUGAAGGGUCGAUGUUCAGAGGCUGAGGAGUCUGCGUGAGAAGCUUUACUGCCUUCUGCCUGCCAUGAAUUGUUUCUCCUCCAUGAUGCCCUCUGCCAUGCCACCCUGUCUUGGAGCCAGCUAACUUUGGACUAAAACCUCUACAAUCUGAG